rnacentral:rRNA from 1 species
UACGUAGGGUGCGAGCGUUAAUCGGAAUUACUGGGCGUAAAGCGUGCGCAGGCGGUUCGUUGUGUCUGCUGUGAAAUCCCCGGGCUCAACCUGGGAAUGGCAGUGGAAACUGGCGAGCUUGAGUGUGGCAGAGGGGGGUGGAAUUCCGGCGUGUAGCAGUGAAAUGCGUAGAGAUGAUGGAGGAACACCGAUGGCGAAGGCAGCCCCUGGGCCGACACUGACGCUCAGGCACGAAAGCGCGGGGAGCAAACAGG